rfam:Cajanus cajan chromosome 11, whole genome shotgun sequence.
AGAGUAUAGUUGAGCCGGGAUGGCUUGCCGGCAUAUGCAUUAAAGCAAAGAUCUCCUAUGUGGGUGUUGCUGGUGGCCAUCCUGGCUCAUGUUUGCUCU